AGGUGUUUCUCAUCUCGGAGUAUUGUCCCAUGUACAAGUGAAGGAGCAGUGACUACAUUAGAUGAGACUGGUUCUAUGUCCAGAGGACUCAAUUCGAGUUGUUUGUGAAGAAUGCUAUUGUUUAAGGAUACUAUUUUCAAAUAAAAUCUUUGGGCCAACUGUAAUCUACGCAAAACCAGAGGAGGAGAGACACAGUAUGAUGAUGGUUGCACAUUUAUCUCAAGAAAAGUUGGAAGGUGGUAACUACCCAUUGGGUCAUCAUGAACAUACCAAUUGCAAAGAUGAGCAA
rnacentral:lncRNA from 1 species